rnacentral:rRNA from 1 species
GGAGUCUGGGCCGUGUCUCAGUCCCAAUGUGGCCGUUCAACCUCUCAGUCCGGCUACUGAUCGUCGCCUUGGUGAGCCGUUACCUCACCAACUAGCUAAUCAGACGCGAGCCCAUCUCUGAGUGAUAAAUCUUUGGUAGCAAAAUCAUGCGGUUUCACUACUUUAUGAGGUAUUACCAUCCGUUUCCAGAAGCUAUCCCUCUCUCAGAGGCAGGUUGCCCACGCGUUACUCACCCGUCCGCCACUAAGAAUAUACAAUCAUCUGCCGAAGCUUCUGAAGCGUAUAUUCUCCGUUCGACUUGCAUGUGUUAGGCACGCCGCCAGCGUUCAUC